AGAUGUUAGGGUGAUCUGGCUGCAACAUCUGUCACCCCAUUGAUCUCCAGGGUUGAUCUGGCUCAUCUGGCUGGCUAGAUGGGUGUCCCUUCUUCCCUCACUUCUCCUUCCUCGAGUUGUACACUUUGUUGAAGAGGACCACUCUUAACUCACAGAGGAGGCUCAAUCAAUUAAAAGGAAUGAGUAGUUGUGCUUCUCUGACAGAACCUCCAAUCGAGGACAGUACUUUUAUAAAAGCAUGCAAAGGAAGUUUUGGUCACACCCUAACCU
rnacentral:snRNA from 1 species